AUGAUGCGAGCGGAGGGGAAGGCGGCGAGGAGCGCGAACCGAUCGUCGCCGUGGAAGAGCAGCUAUGUUGCGUACGGCCUGUUGCUCGGCUCCCUGCUUGUGCUCCUCUACCUGAUGGUGUCAACGCAGUUCAGCUACAGCCAAAAAGCCUUGUUGGACCCAGAGGCAAUCGAUUCAGCUGAAGCAAUCCCUGCAAAGCAUCGAAGGAGCCAUCCAGGGCAAGAUGAUGCGAGCAGAGGAAUGGAGGAAUUCAGCCAGGAGGAGGAAGAGGAGAAGGCCAAGGCGCACACGGAACCAUCAACGCCACGGCGUCAAGAGAAACAGGACGAGAGCGAGCAGCAGUGGGCAGGGAGAAAUUCGAUCGAAGAACAACUAGGCAACGAAAUGAAAUCCGACAACUGGGAGGCGAAAAGCCAGGACAAGAACGAGGAGGCAGCCGAAUCAAAGGAAUUCGGCGGAGGAACGGAUGACUACAACAAUGUGGCCGACGCCAAGCCGAUUUGCGACACGUCGUUCGGCAAGUACGACAUCUGCGAGCUGGCCGGCGACGCGCGAGCUCAGGGAGGCCCCGGCGCCACCGUCACGCUCGUCUCGCCGCGGGCUCCCCCCAAGGAGUGGCAGAUCAAGCCCUACUCCCGCAAGUACCUCGACGGCCUGAAGCAGGUCACGGUGAGGGCCGUCCCAAACUCCCGUGACGCCCCGCAGUGCACGACGCAGCUCAACAUCCCGGCGAUGGUGAUCGAGCUCGGCGGUCUCACCGGCAACUACUGGCACGACUUCACCGACGUCCUCGUCCCGCUCUUCAUCGGCGCGCGCCGCUUCAACGGGGAGGUCCAGCUCCUCGUCGUCAACUUCCUGCCCUUCUGGGUGGACAGGUACAAGCGGAUCUUCGCCCAGAUCUCGCGCCACGACGUCGUGGACUUUGAGAACGACGACGGCGCCGUCCGGUGCUACCCGCACGUCGUCGUGGGCUACGGCAGCCGCAAGGAGUUCACCAUCGACCCCUCCCUCGACGAAACCGGCGGGGACUACACCAUGGUCGACUUCACCAGGUUCUUGAGGCACGCGUACUCGCUGCCGCGUGACCGGCCGAUCAAGCUCGGCGACGUCCGUCCGCCCGGCGGGCGCCGCCGGCGUCCGCGAAUGAUCAUCCUGGAGAGGACGAACAGCCGGAAGAUCCUCAACCUCCCGGAGGUCGUCGCGGCGGCGGAGGCGGCGGGGUUCAAGGUGGUCGUCGCCGGGCGCCCGAAGGCCAGCUACGACGAGUUCACGCGGGAGAUGAACUCCUUCGACGUCAUGGUCGGCGUGCACGGCGCCGGGCUGACAAACUGCGUGUACCUGCCCACGGGGGCCGUGUUCCUGCAGAUCGUGCCGUACGGGCGGCUGGAGGAGAUCGCCCGGACCGACUUCGGGGACCCGGCCCGCGACAUGGGGCUCCGGUACAUCCAGUACAGCGUGGCGGCGGAGGAGAGCUCGCUGAUGGGCGUGUUCGGGAAGGAGCACCCCAUGAUCAAGGACCCCGCCGCCAUCCACCUGAGCGGGUGGGGGAACGUGGCGGAGUGGUACCUCGGCAAGCAGGACGUGCGGAUCGACGUAGAGAGGUUUAGGCCCUCUCUGCUGCGGGCAUUGGAGCACCUGCGGUAG
rnacentral:rRNA from 1 species